GAUGAACGCUGGCGGCGUGCCUAAUACAUGCAAGUCGAGCGAACAGACGAGGAGCUUGCUCCUCUGACGUUAGCGGCGGACGGGUGAGUAACACGUGGAUAACCUACCUAUAAGACUGGGAUCACUUCGGGAAACCGGAGCUAAUACCGGAUAAUAUAUUGAACCGCAUGGUUCAAUAGUGAAAGACGGUUUUGCUGUCACUUAUAGAUGGAUCCGCGCCGCAUUAGCUAGUUGGUAAGGUAACGGCUUACCAAGGCAACGAUGCGUAGCCGACCUGAGAGGGUGGUCGGCCACACUGGAACGGAGACACGGUCCAGACGCCUACGGGAGGCAGCAGUAGGGAAUCUUCCGCAAUGGGCGAAAGCCUGACGGAGCAACGCCGCGUGAGUGAUGAAGGUCUUCGGAUCGUAAAGCUCUGUUAUGAGGGAAGAACAAAUGUGUAAGUAACUAUGCACGUCUUGACGGUACCUAAUCAGAAAGCCACGGCUAACUACGUG
rnacentral:rRNA from 1 species